CCAAUAGCGUAUAUUAAAGUUGUUGCAGUUAAAAAGCUCGUAGUUGAACUUCGGGGUUUACCCAUUGGUCAGGCUUAAUUGUCUGCACUGGUGAGAUGGAUCUCUACCUUCUGAGGAACUUUCAUGCCAUUUAUUUGGUGUGAUGGGAAAUCAGGACUGUUACUUUGAAAAAAUUAGAGUGUUUAAAGCAGACUAUCGUCUGAAUACAUUAGCAUGGAAUAAUGAAAUAGGACGGACUGAUUCUAUUUCGUUGGUUUCUAGGAUCACCGUAAUGAUUAAUAUGGAUAGUUGGGGGCAUUAGUAUUCAAUUGUCAGAGGUUAAAUUCUUGGAUUUAUUGAAGACUAACUACUGCGAAAGCAUUUGCCAAGGAUGUUUUCAUUAAUCAAGAACGAAAGUUAGGGGAUCGAAGACGAUCAGAUACCGUCGUAGUCUUAACCAUAAACUAUGCCGACUAGGGAUCGGACGACGUAUAAUUAUUGACUCGUUCGGCACCUUAUG
rnacentral:rRNA from 1 species